rnacentral:tRNA from 1 species
GGGCAAUUAGCUCAGAUGGAUAGAGCGUUGGCCUCCGGAGCCAAAGGCCGCAAGUUCGAAUCUUGCAUUGCCCA